rnacentral:rRNA from 1 species
CCCGCACAAGCGGUGGAGCAUGUGGUUUAAUUCGAUGGUACGCGAGGAACCUUACCUGGGUUUUGACAUACGGAGGGAAGUGGCAGCGAUGUCACUGUGUCGCGAGACGACUCCGUACAGGUGCUGCAUGGCUGUCGUCAGCUCGUGCCGCGAGGUGUUGGGUUAAGUCCCGCAACGAGCGCAACCCCUACUGCCAGUUACUAACAGGUGAAGCUGAGGACUCUGGCGGAACUGCCGGUGACAAACCGGAGGAAGGUGGGAUGACGUCAAGUCAUCAUGGCCCUUAUGUCCAGGGCUACACACGUGCUACAAUGGGCGAGACAGAGCGACGCGAAGCCGCGAGGUGGAGCAAAUCGCAGAAAAUCGUCCUCAGUUCGGAUUGGAGUCUGAAACCCGACUCCAUGAAGGUGGAAUCGCUAGUAAUCGCGCAUCAGCAUGGCGCGGUGAAUACGUUCCCGGGCCUU